UGGGGGCACCCUUCUGCUGACACCCCCUUUCUUUCCUUCCAGAUGACCACUCCAGGGUGAUUCUCAGCCAAGUGGAUGGAAUUCCAUGCUCAGACUACAUCAAUGCUUCGUACACAGACGUAAGCCAAGGGUUUUCUCCUCAACCAAUGCUACUCAAAUACCUGCUUUUAGGUAAACCAUGACUGGCAGUGUGCCUUAGUGGGUAGAGACUUAGCUUCAGAGUCAGGAAGACACCUGGGUUCACAUGGUUCCUCCCGGGUCAAGUGCUUUAGUCUCUCAGUGGCCCCAAGCAGGUCUCUGGGAUAACAAUAAACAGCAGGGAAGAUUGGGGCCUGCUCUGGGAGAGGGGGUUGUUUUCACCAGGGAGCUCUGUAGACUCAGGAAGUCAUGAGGCGGGGUCAAUCUCGAGCCCUUCCUGACUGUCACUGAAACCACUGCAGAGAAUCACAAAUACCAUCUUCCUUCUGCAGGGUUACAAAGAGAAGAAUAAAUUCAUGGCUGCUCAAGGCCCCAAACAGGAGAUGGCCAGGGACUUCUGGAGGAUGGUCUGGGAGCAGAAGUCAGAGACCAUUGUCAUGCUGACCAACUUGAAAGAAAGAAAAAAGAAAACUGAUGUCCUUCAGUAAGAGAUCCAGUUGCUAACUCAUCAGGUGGAGCAGCUGCAUCAGCUUUAUCAAGAGGCUGUGUGUGACUCAUCCCAACUGAAGAAAAUCUUCUGGAGCAGAAGAAGUCCACGAAGCUUUCAGAAGGGAAAAUUACCAUUGAUGACUUCUUUCAAGGGAGAUGGGAUUUAGACAAGUAGAAAGCAAGGCUCCAAUUAAGUAUAUGGCAAAGAAAAAUUAAGAUUUUAAA